GGUGAAAUCCUGCAGCUCAACUGUAGAACUGCCUUUGAUACUGGAAAACUUGAGUUAUUGUGAAGUGGUUAGAAUGUGUGGUGUAGCGGUGAAAUGCAUAGAUAUCACACAGAAUACCGAUUGCGAAGGCAGAUCACUAACAAUAUACUGACGCUCAUGGACGAAAGCGUGGGGAGCGAACAGGAUUAGAUACCCUGGUAGUCCACGCCGUAAACGAUGGAUACUAGCUGUUCGUCUAACAUUGGUUAGAUGAGUGGCUAAGCGAAAGUGAUAAGUAUCCCACCUGGGGAGUACGGUCGCAAGACUGAAACUCAAAGGAAUUGACGG
rnacentral:rRNA from 1 species